AAUCCAUGGUGAGGGCACUCUCUUCGGUACUCUUUGUACCUUUCCCAAGCUUCGCAGAAAGCUUCUCCAUGCUGCUGUUUGAACGAUGAGAUUUUGUUCCUCAGAGA
rfam:Eutrema salsugineum unplaced genomic scaffold scaffold_17, whole genome shotgun sequence.